GAUGAACGCUGGCGGCGUGCCUAAUACAUGCAAGUCGAGCGAACAGAUGAGGAGCUUGCUCCUCUGACGUUAGCGGCGGACGGGUGAGUAACACGUGGAUAACCUACCUAUAAGACUGGGAUAACUUCGGGAAACCGGAGCUAAUACCGGAUAAUAUAUUGAACCGCAUGGUUCAAUAGUGAAAGACGGUUUUGCUGUCACUUAUAGAUGGAUCCGCGCCGCAUUAGCUAGUUGGUAAGGUAACGGCUUACCAAGGCAACGAUGCGUAGCCGACCUGAGAGGGUGAUCGGCCACACUGGAACUGAGACACGGUCCAGACUCCUACGGGAGGCAGCAGUAGGGAAUCUUCCGCAAUGGGCGAAAGCCUGACGGAGCAACGCCGCGUGAGUGAUGAAGGUCUUCGGAUCGGAAAACUCUGUUAUUAGGGAAGAACAAAUGUGUAAGUAACUAGGCACGUCUUGACGGUACCUAAUCAGAAAGCCACGGCUAACUACG
rnacentral:rRNA from 1 species